rnacentral:rRNA from 1 species
UGAGGAAUAUUGCGCAAUGGGCGAAAGCCUGACGCAGCGACGCCGCGUGGAGGAUGAAGGCCUUCGGGUUGUAAACUCCUGUCAGUGGGGAAGAGAAUGGACGGUACCCACUGAGGAAGCUUCGGCUAACUACGUGCCAGCAGCCGCGGUAAGACGUAGGGAGCAAGCGUUGUCCGGAAUCACUGGGCGUAAAGAGCUCGUAGGCGGGAUCGUAAGUCUCAGAGUAAAUCUCACGGCUCAACCGUGGGGC